rnacentral:rRNA from 1 species
ACUGCUAUUGGGGUACGACUAAGCCAUGUGAGUUUUCCGCGAGGAAGCGAACUGCAGAGUAACACGUAGGCAACCUAACUUAAGGAGGGAAAUAACCUCGAGAAAUUGAGGAUAAUGUCCCAUAGGUUUUGGAUACUGGAAUGUGCCAAAACUCAAAGCUUCGGCGCCUUAAGAUGGGCCUGCGACUGAUCAGGCUGUUGGCGGGGUAAUGGCCCACCAAACCUUAGACCAGUAGGGGCAGUGAGAGCUAGAGCCCCCAGUUGAGUACUGAGACACGGACUCAGGCCCUACGGGGCGCAGCAGGCGCGAAACCUCCGCAAUGCACGAAAGUGUGACGGGGGGACCCCAAGUGUUUUCGGUUUUACCGAAAACUUUUCUUUAGCGUAAAUAACUAGAGGAAUAAGAGCUGGGUAAGACGGGUGCCAGCCGCCGCGGUAAUACCCGCAGCUCGAGUGGUCUGGAGUUUUAUUGGGUCUAAAGCGUUCGUAGCCGGGCCUACAAGUUCUCUGUGAAAUCCAGUGGCUUAACCAUUGGGCGUGCAGAGAAUACUGUGGGUCUUGGGACCGGGAUGGGCUAAGGGUACUCUUGGGGUAGGGGUGAAAUCCAAUAAUCCUAAGGGGACCACCUGUGGCGCNACCUUUUCAAGUGAAAAGGUUCCAUAUAAGGCGCUUAGCUAAAACGGGUCCGACGGUGAGGAACGAAAGCCAGGGGAGCGAACGGGAUUAGAUACCCCGGUAGUCCUGGCUGUAAACGAUGCGGACUANGUGUUACAAACCUCUUGUAGGCUUGUAGUGCCGAAGGGAAGCCAUUAAGUCCGCCACCUGGGAAGUACGGUCGCAAGAUUGAAACUUAAAGGAAUUGACGGGGGAGCACAACAAGGGGUGGAGCCUGCGGUUUAAUUGGAUUCAACGCCGGAAAUCUCACUGGGGGCGACAGCAGAAUGAAGGCCAGGUUGAUGACCUUGCUAGACUCGUUGAGAGGUAGUGCAUGGCCGUCGUCAGUUCGUGCCGUAAGGUGUUCGGUUAAGUCCGACAACGAACGAGACCCACGCCACUAGUUGCUAACUUUUCCUUCGGGAAAGGUGCACUCUAAUGGGACCGCUGUUGAUGAAGCAGAGGAAGGAGUGGGCAACGGUAGGUCAGUAUGCUCCGAAUCCCCCAGGCUACACGCGGGCUACAAUGGUUGGAACAAUGAGUUGCGACCCCGAAAGGGGUAGCUAAUCUUUAAAUCCAAUCCCAGUUCGGAUCGAGGGCUGUAACUCGCCCUCGUGAAGCCGGAAUCCCUAGUAAUCAGAGUUCAUUAGGCUCUGGUGAAUACGUCCCUGCUCCUUGUACACACCGCCCGUCAAAUCACCUGAGUUAGGUUUGGGUGAGGCUUCGCCUAUUGGCGCAUUCGAACCCGAGCUUAGCAAGGGGGGUU